UCAGGAAAGAGCUCGGCGGCGGCGGCUCUCGUCAGGCAGGAGAGCUGCCGCGAUCGGAUGGCGGAGGGCAGGGUUGCCGGGGCCAAGCUUCUUCCCAGCUCCAGCGGAUGCCCGGCAUGCCUUGAAGAGCGGAGCCAAGGGCUUCCCAGCCGCCGAGGCUCCUGCUGCGGGUGUUGAGAGCGGGCGGCAGACCACGGAGGCGAGCAACCCACCCUGCUGCUGCGGGUGAUGCCUCCCCGGGCAGCUGCUCCGCUUUUCUUUUUCCUGAAAAUGUCACUGGAGGGAGGAGAAGGCGGAUGGAACCGUGGCGGGAAGGAGAUGGUGCCUGGAGGAUGGUUUCUGCAACGCUUUCACUGAUGAAAUUUUAGGGAACAGAUUCUUCUCAGAAGUGGCAAACCUGUUAUCUAGCCUGAACCACUUCAGAUGAGAACUCACCUGAUUGAGAGCUCUUUUAUUAUCGCCGUACAGAAAUUAUCUCUGCAUACAAAACCGGGGAGGAAAAAAAAAAUCGUGAAGCCUUUCUUUCCAACAAGAUUCACUUAGAUUUAACCUUAGAAAGGUGAACCUGCUAGGCAAGCUGCACAGAGCUAGUCCUCACUUAACUGCCUUGCAUAAGAACUGUUUGCAGUUACAACAGUGAUGGAAAAAGUAUUUCCAAUCCUCACAUUUAUGACAGUCACAUGCCUGUAAUAGAAAUGAAAGCUGAAGUAAGAUCAUAAGUACAAUUCUGGUUUCACUUAGUAACCACUUCACUUAAUGACCAAGUUGCUAGUCUUAGUUAUGCUAUCUAAAUGAGGGCUACCUGUAGUGUACCAAGAAAUGUAUCAAGAAACUGGAAUUAGGUUCAGAUAAGGGUAAAGAAGAUAAACAAGCAACUGGACAAUUCAGUAUCACAAGGCAUGAUGGUAUUUUGCAAAGGCAGGGAAGAGCCACAGCCAGGAGGAUACUUGAACUAGAGCAGUGGUCCCCAACCAUUGUCUCUUAGCAGCCUGGCUGUGGGGAGAGAGGAGAAUCAGGCUACAUGAGCAGGGGAGGUUGGUGUACCUGACCAUGUGCGCACAGCUCAAGUUGCGCAAGUGGUGGGCUGGCACGCAUGUGUGCGCAGCUUGAGUUGCAAAUGCACGCACCAGUUCUGAAUAGGCCACAUCCCAGUAGUCAACGGCGGCAUGGGAGUUGAAGACCCUUGGAUUACAAGCAAUUUAGGCUCUUUUGUUUCUUGCAGUGUGAAAUCAAUGGAGGAGAAAUGCAUUUUCAGACUUGCCAGAUUCUAUUAACGUAACCUUACAAUAAAGUAGCAUUACUCCA